GAAUGUGGACGGGUAGCUGCAGCUCUCGGUGCUCGGCGUAUCUGCAGAUCUUUAGUAAAUCAGCCGUCGAUGAACCGAAGGAUUGGCCGAUCAGUGAUCGUCUGCCCGGAGAUUGCAGGAUCAGAUCUUGGAGGACGCAGCCAUGUCUGGAAGCCGCUUCGCAGUCCUCGCCGGAUUUGUACUGACGGUUCUCUCCUGUAUAGACGCCAGCACUAGACUCACCGUUAACGUGAUUCCUCCGACGCCUAAACCUGGAGACCUCGUCACCCUCAGCGUCUUUGGCGUUCAGGGAACCAUCCAUUUUUCAACUUGGUACAAAGGUCUGAGCACGAGCGCCACGGAGCAGAUCCUGUCCCAUUUCAACCAUGGGGACAUCCGUGGAGACAAGUACUUCCCCGAGGCCAGCGGCCGGCCCAAUGGUUCACUAGUGAUUCAGGGUUUUCGGAAGGAAUUUUAUGGUGACUACACCGUUCAAAUACAGACAAGCAUCAUUCUGCAAGAGGGCAAAGUGACUGUGAGUGGUGUCUCAUGUGCUGCACUCUCUGCUUUCGCUCCUCUCUUCGGAUUACUCUUAUAUUCUUCCUUCAGCUACCUAUGACUCCAGCAGAGGACAGAUGUUGAAGGGAUUUUCAGCUUAAGUUUAUGAGAUCAGGAAUGGAAGGAAAGGCGCAACGGCAGCGGUGCGGACCCUCCGCCAUUUAGUAUGAGAAGCCGCCACCGAAUGAACGAAGAGGGAAGAAGACGCCAAAUCCCAAUGUCUCCUGACCACCACCUCCAGGGGCAUUGACCCCUCCAUUAACCUCUUCCUCGCCACACCUUGGUUCACCUCAUACGUGACGGCUCUAUGAUUCUGACAUUUACUAAUUUAUUCAACACUGACAACUAUUAACCAUUUUGCUACCAGCGCCCGCGAUGGAGCAAUGUGCGAACAUGGCGCCCGCACGCACGUGCAGCGGGCAUUAUGGCCGGCAGAUCUCUGCUGUUUCAUACAGCAGAGACCUGCGGCUAAUUACCGUGACCGGCAAUAAUGCUGAUCGUGGUAAUUAAAUGCUUUAGAGGCCGUGACCAAGCGAGGUCACGGCAUCUAAAUGCGCAAAAACCGAUGUCCCGUGUGGCCUAAUGCGGCUCCAGUCCUUGUGCUGAACACGGUCAGCCUCGCUGAUGAGUGUUCAAGCUGCAGGUCUUAUUUUGGCCACCAGAUGGCAGGCCGGGAGAAGAAAUGGCAAAUAUAAAACCCCUGAUAAACUAAUAAUAAACUCAUAAAUGAGCCACAAAAUGAUCCGAAUUUUUUAUUUUAAAGUUAAAUUACAUUAAAAAUAUAAAAGUUUAAAUCACCCCCCCCUUUUCUUAUAAUUAAAAAAUAAAUACCUCAAUAACAAUAAAUAUAACCUCAUGGGUAUCGCUGUGACUGAAAACACCCGGACUAUUAAAAUAUUUAAAAAAAAAGUCCAAAAUGGCGAAUGGGGGAAAAAAGGGUCAAAAUGGCCGAUUUGUAAUUUUUUUACAUUGCUUCUCUUGCCCCAAAAAAGUAUAAAAUGUGAUAAAAAAGUCACCACACUCCGAAACGGUAUCAAUAAAAAGUGCAGAUUGUUCCUCAAAGCGUGAGCCCCACUCAGCUCCGCAGACAAGUGUAAGAAGUUAUGGGGGGCAGAAUAUGGUGAUGUACAUUCUUUUUUAUCAAAGUAAAGAUGUAUUUUUGCACUAUUUAGACAUGAACCCUAUCCAUACGCGGAAUCGCUGUAAUCGGACGGACCCAGAGAAUGAAGGGUCGGUUUGGCAAACGUAGUGGGAACAAAACCUGUAAAACGGUGGAGGAAUUUUAUGCCGUGGUUAAUGGUGGAAUUAGAAAGUACAAAAUCUCCCGCAAAAGAAUAAGCCCUCGUGCAGCUAUGUGUCCGGAAAUAUAAAAAAGUUAUGGCUCACGGAAAAUAGGGAAGAAAAAUGAAAACAAAAAACCCUCCGGUAGCCAAGGGGUUAAAGGUACAGGCAGCCGCAUUCUCGCCCGUAAGGAGGCGGCCGGGGAGCAGCUUUAUCUGUCUGCGGUACUUCACACAUCUAUCAUUAUCUCCAUCGACCCGUGAACAUGUUUAUUAUCAGAGCGCAAUGAUCUCCAGCCUGUGGCGCUUCAGCUGCUGUAACACUACAAGUCCCAGCAUGCCCUGACAACCAGAGAGUGUCUCUGCGCCAGUCUGCUCUAUGCUAGUCCUAUCUAGGAACAUCUAAGGAUCAUCACUCUACAAGUGAGGACAGGACCAGCCUUUCCUUGUCUCAUAUUAGACUGCACCCUUUCAAUGCUGAUCUCACUGGAGAAGCCACGGCCGGUCAAGCAUUUCCUCUGCCGAAAAUGAAGACAGAACUGAAGGGAAGAAGUAAAGACCAUAGUUAUCACAAACUGCAUUUCUGAGGGUGGUCAUGAUGAAAUGGGCCUAACAUGUACAUCCCUGGUAUAACAUAAUAUGGGAGCACUAAUAUGAGGGUCUACCUGGUAUAACGUGAGGUGGGAGCACUGACAAGAGGGUCUACCUGGUAUAACGUGAGGUGGGAGCGCUGACAAGAGGGUCUACCUGGUAUAACGUGAGGUGGGAGCGCUGACAAGAGGUUCUGUAUAACAUGAGGUGGGAUCGCUGACGUGAGGGUCUACCUGGUAUAACGUGAGGUGGGAGCGCUGACGUGAGAGUCUACCUGGUAUAACGUGAGGUGGGAGGGCUGACAUGAGGGUCUACCUGGUAUAACGUGAGGUGGGAGCGCUGACAAGAGAGUCUACCUGGUAUAACGUGAGGUGGGAGCGCCGACAAGAGGUUCUGUAUAACAUGAGGUGGGAUCGCUGACGUGAGGUUCUACCUGGUAUAACGUGAGGUGGGAGUGCUGACAUGAGGGUCUACCUGGUAUAACGUGAGGUGGGAGGGCUGACAUGAGGGUCUACCUGGUAUAACGUGAGGUGGGAGUGCUGACAUGAGGGUCUACCUGGUAUAAUGUGAGGUGGGAGCGCUGACAUGAGGGUCUACCUGGUAUAAUGUGAGGUGGGAGCGCUGACAUGAGGGUCUACCUGGUAUAACGUGAGGUGGGAGCGCUGACAAUAGGGUCCACCUGGUAUAACGUGAGGUGCGAGAGCUGACAAGAGGGUCUACCUGGUAUAACGUGAGGUGGGAGAGCUGACAAGAGGGUCUACCUGGUAUAACAUGAGGUGGAAGUGCUGACAUGAGGUUCUACCUGGUAUAACGUGAGGUAGGAGUGCUGACAUGAGGUUCUACCUGGUAUAACGUGAGGUGGGAGCGCUGACGUGAGGGUCUACCUGGUACUACGUGAGGCGGCAGCGCUGACAUGAGGGUCUACCUGGUACUACGUGAGGCGGCAGCGCUGACAUGAGGGUCUACCUGGUAUAAUGUGAGGUGGGAUCGCUGACAUGAGGUUCUGUAUAACAUGAGGUGGGAUCGCUGACGUGAGGUUCUACCUGGUAUAACGUGAGGUGGGAGAGCUGACAAGAGGGUCUACCUGGUACUACGUGAGGCGGCAGCGCUGACAUGAAGGUCUACCUGGUAUAAUGUGAGGUGGGAGCGCUGACAUGAGGGUCUACCUGGUAUAAUGUGAGGUGGGAGCGCUGACAUGAGGGUCUACCUGGUAUAACGUGAGGUGGGAGCGCUGACAAUAGGGUCUACCUGGUAUAACGUGAGGUGGGAGAGCUGACAAGAGGGUCUACCUGGUAUAACGUGAGGUGGGAGAGCUGACAAGAGGGUCUACCUGGUAUAACGUGAGGGGGAAGUGCUGACAUGAGGUUCUACCUGGUAUAACGUGAGGUGGAAGCGCUGACAUGAGGUUCUACCUGGUAUAACGUGAGGUGGAAGCGCUGACACGAGGUUCUACCUGGUAUAACAUGAGGUGGAAGUGCUGACAUGAGGGUCUACCUGGUAUAACGUGAGGUGGAAGUGCUGACAUGACGGUCUACCUGGUAUAACGUGAGGUGGGAGCGCUGACAUGAGGGUCUACCUGGUAUAACAUGAGGCGGGAGGGCUGACAUGAGGUUCUACCUGGUAUAAUGUGAGGUGGGAGUGCAGACAUGAGAUUCUACCUGGUAUAACAUGAGGUGGAAGCAAUAACAUGGAGUUCUCCACACCGUACAUCACCUCAUACAUCCAGGUGCUGUGACCGCCACUUAUCAUCUCAUUCUUGCAUCCUUUGGUUUCUCUUCAUGUCUCAUAUGUAGAGGUUGCUGUGCAGUGAAUCUACUGACACUUGUUCACCUUGUUCCCUUCUCUCGCCUUCACCCCUUCCCUUUAAUAUUGUUUGUUAUUUGCAUUUUCUGCAGAACUUAAUGAUUUGUUCCUAAAGAUGAAAAGAUUAAAUAAAAACUAAAAACAGAAAA